GGGAGGCCACAGAAGGAUAGACAAACGGAUGAUAAAGCCUGCACUAUAGGAAACAUAAAUCGCAUAACAGGAGUGAGGGGAGCGAGGGGGAGUCUGCUCUCAUGGCCAGGUAUGAUAACAUUCACAAAAUAUUCUCUGAGUGCGAGCUUACAACGCUACGCAAUCUUACGAGACUUCUCCGGCCACUCGUCGCCUGCCCGCCCUCCCCGACCCAAGUGUCAAAGUUCAUAAAAACGGCUGCGGGAAGGUAAUGCACAAGCCUAUAAUCCAGCAUAUAAAAGGGUUACGGGCCCCCUCCAAUGCAGUGUCGGGGGCUGGCGAAUCGCGCGGUAGCAGCCGUGUAAGCCAGUCACCCGGUAUGCGCAUAUUGAGAUGUCUCCAACACACACACGGAGCGGCCGAGAGAGCCUAUGUAUUUCUACGAUUGCCGAUUUUUCCCCGGCGCAGCGAAGGAAUCUGGGAAGGAUUUAUGCUCCCCGAAAAUCCCAUAAUUCACGAGCUUUUCGAAGGUAUAAAGUAAAGUGGAGAUAAUUGGAAGACGAAAGAAAGGGAGAUAUUUUUCUAGUUUGGAGCCGACAUCGGUUGGGUCUCGCGCCGGCCGAGUCUGGCCGCCAUUUUGUGGGCGCUCCCUCACCUGCCGUCCAGAAGUCGCCCGCCCCCCCUUAAAUUUCCCCAACUUCUUGGCAUCAUCUUGGGAGACAGAUGGACCGAGCCCAUGAGAGGAACGCGCACCAGUGUAGCGUGAUGACCGUUUUUGAGCAAAUUCUCGUUUAAAUGUAUGCAGACUGGAGUUAUGGUGAGGCAAUGGUCGUCAAAACAAACCAGAAAGGUAAGAGAUGACAACUUUUUCAAGAUGGCGACACAAAGACGAUGACGACGGACGUAUCUUUUUUUUUUAUCCCUAGAAGGAGAAAAAAAAAAUGAAUCAUAAUCCUGCUGCUGAGAUAAAUUGUUAAUCUUUGUUGUUGUCUUUUUUGUAUUGAUAUUAAAAGAAGAAACAAAUUU